rnacentral:rRNA from 1 species
UACGUAGGGGGCUAGCGUUGUCCGGAAUCAUUGGGCGUAAAGCGCGUGUAGGCGGUCCGGUAAGUCCGCUGUGAAAGUCGGGGGCUCAACCCUCGAAAGCCGGUGGAUACUGUCGGGCUCGAGUACGGAAGAGGCGAGUGGAAUUCCUGGUGUAGCGGUGAAAUGCGCAGAUAUCAGGAAGAACACCCGUGGCGAAGGCGGCUCUCUGGGACGGUACUGACGCUGAGACGCGAAAGCGUGGGGAGCGAACAGG